AACGCGAGGAAAACAUCACAGCGUAAGUGAGAGUAAAAAUACCCGAAAUCAGUAUUAUUUUUCUUGUCACAAAGUAAACAAAAAGGGCUAUGGAAAUAACAAAUCAAAAUGACGAAAAUAACGGCAUAAAAAUUAAUCAUCCGCAAAAACAUUGCAUUGCCUCAAAAAGUCGGAAAGCGAAUUUUGGCAAACGGUGGGAAAAUGACGGCAGCAAAAGAAAAUGAAAUUGGCGAAAUUACGAGAAAAAAAAUCACACCAUAAUGAACAAAAUAUCUGUUUAGAAAAUGACUGAAUUUCACUUAUAAACAGCGGCAUUUCAAAAACAUCAAAAUUGUUGACAUUGUCGAGAAGUGCCUUCAAAAAGACAUAAUUGCCCCCCCCCCCCCACCACCACCAAAAAAAGUACAUUGUGAAAGGGUACAACUUAUUGGCAACCUGCCAUUAUCGGCGUCGGCACAUGUUCGUGUGCAUUAUGACAAAAAAAAGAUCAUGUCUGUUUUUAAAAGUAAAUAGUGGAAACAUGGGUAGAAUCGUUUAGUUUCUAUUUGGUAACAAGUGGCCUUAUUACAGGUAGGCUUAGACAUAAUGCUUUGGAAUGUUUCACUUCAGUAACAAAUGGGCUAGGCCCAGUGUUUUCGUAACCCUGUUCACUUAGGAAAGAGUUGCAGCUUUCAUCAAAGAAACUGAUGAUCUAAAAGCUGAGACUGCAUGGAUGAGCUAGGCUGCUUUGUCUGGACGAAAAUCAACCCUCCAAUGCUCCAACGGCCUCAUCACACAGAAACUCGAGGAACCGGAAGCAGGGAGUAGGACCGACAGAUGAACGGAUGACCUGCUUGCUGGGCUACCCAUUACUGAUUCUUGAGAAAAAUGAGGACCACUGACUGGUGAGGAAAUUGCUUUACUGAGAUUGAUGAGCCUGCCUCAAGACAUCUUCAGGGCUCCAAAAGCCUCAUCAAACAGAAACUCGAGGAACCGGAAGCAGGGAGGAGGACCGACGGAUGACCUGCUUGCUGGGCUUCUCAUUCCUGAUUAUUAGAAAAAUGAGGACCACUGGCUGAUGAGGAAAUUGCUCUACUGGGAUUGAUGAGCCUGCCUCAAGACAUCGUCAGGGCUCCAAGGGCCUCAUCAAACAGAAACUCGAGGAACCGGAAGCAGGGAGGAGGACCGACGGAUGACCUGCUUGCUGGGCUUCUCAUUCCUGAUUAUUAGCAAAGUGAGGACCACUGACUGAUGAGGGAAUUGCU